GUGAAGCGGCAAUAGCUCAAAUUUGAAAUCUGGCGUCUUCGGCGUCCGAGUUGUAAUUUGUAGAGGAUGCUAUUGAGUUGUCACCGGUCUAAGUUCCUUGGAACAGGACGUCACAGAGGGUGAGAAUCCCGUAUGUGACCGGCCAGACGCUCUCUGUAUAGCUCCUUCGACGAGUCGGGUUGUUUGGGAAUGCAGCCCUAAAUGGGAGGUAAAUUUCUUCUAAAGCUAAAUACCGGCCAGAGACCGAUAGCGCACAAGUAGAGUGAUCGAAAGAUGAAAAGCACUUUGGAAAGAGAGUUAAAAAGCACGUGAAAUUGUUGAAAGGGAAGCGCUUGCAAUCAGUCUCGACGGCGGCUGUUCGGCCUCUCUUCUGAGUGGUUUAUUCAGUCGCCGCCGGGCCAGCAUCAGUUCUGGCGGUCGGAUAAAGGCGCGGGGAAUGUAGCUCCUCUCGGGGAGUGUUAUAGCCCUGCGUGCAAUACGGCCUGCCGGGACUGAGGUCCGCGCUUCGGCUAGGAUGCUGGCGAAAUGGUUGUAAGCGGCCCGUCUUGAAACACGGACCAAGGAGUCUAACAUCUAUGCGAGUGUUUGGGUGUCAAACCCGUACGCGUAAUGAAAGUGAACGGAGGUGGGAACCGCAAGGUGCACCAUCGACCGAUCCUGAUGUCUUCGGAUGGAUUUGAGUAAGAGCAUAGCUGUUGGGACCCGAAAGAUGGUGAACUAUGCCUGAAUAGGGUGAAGCCAGAGGAAACUCUGGUGGAGGCUCGCAGCGGUUCUGACGUGCAAAUCGAUCGUCAAAUUGG
rnacentral:rRNA from 1 species